rnacentral:misc_RNA from 1 species
UAAUAAUUAUUCUAUUACUGGUCUAAGGUUGGCACAGUAUGUUGGCUUCAUCGACUUUCAGUAUGAAUAUACAAUGAGCCAUGUCUAUUCUAGCCGUGUCAACCGAACAUUAUAAUAUUAUUAUUUAUAUACAAAUGUAGUCGAUGUUUUGUAAAGAUACAUCGGUGAUACAUCGAUCAUCGAUAUGCUGCUCUUGGCCGCCGCAUGGGAAUCAUGGAAUUAGGAUCAUGCCUGUGGGACGUCAAGAAGUUUUGCGUCUCUACAAAGAUCUUUUGAAGUAUGGACAGAAUUUAAAAUUCACCGACAAAAGCUACUUUGAAAGUCGAAUCAAAUCUGAGUUUAGAAAACACAAAUCUCUUGAGAAACCAAGUGAUAAACAAUUUCAUUUUGAGAGAGGCCAGCAAAUAUUAAUCAAAGCACGAAUCCUGUGACCUGAAAAAUGAUGAGUAAUCUACUAAGAGUACUCACAAACGUGCAGUCAAGACAUCUUUCGACCACUCGGCUGUUGUUGAAGAAAGGAAUCGACUACUCUAAGGUGCCAACUCUCGAUGAAGACGACUUGGAGGAGCAGUUUGUGAGGGGCAGUGGGCCGGGAGGACAAUCGGUUAAUAAGACCAAUAAUUGCGUCGUUAUCAAGCAUAAACCUACUGGAAUUGUGUCGAAAUGCCACGAUUCGAGGUCGCAGAGUGAAAAUCGCAAACUGGCCCGACAGAAGUUGAUCACGCAGCUGGACAAUCUGCUGAACAAGGAGAUGUCCAUCGAAGCACAAACCAGCAGACUGCUCAAAAGCAAAGCGAUAAAAGAGGACAAAAAGAAAGAGAAACUGAGAUUGCUGAAAGCCCAGUGGAAAGAGAGAGAAGGCAUAACCUAGUAGUUAUAGUGAAUAGCUAAUUUAAUAAUUGUAAAAAUUAUAUUGUUUGUUUUGUAAAUAAAUAAGCGUUUUGUUUAA